AGACUCCUGCUUUCUCGCCCAAGGAGAUCAGCACCCUGAGUAGGGAGAUGCCUAGUCCUCUCCAAUCUGAUUCUGCCUGGGGCACCCGACUUCUCUGCUGGGUCACCCUUUGUCUCCUGGGAGCAGUACUAGUGGACGCUGGAGUCAUCCAGUCCCCAAGACACCUGAUCAAAGGAAAGCAGGAAGCAGCCAUUCUGAAAUGCUAUCCCCUCCCAGGCCAUGACACUGUGUACUGGUACCAACAGGCUCCAGAUCAAGAUGACCUGAAGAAGGUGACCCUACCCAAGGUGGCUGUAUUUGAACCCUCGGAAGCAGAGAUAGCCCGGACACAAAAGGCCACACUCGUGUGCCUGGCCACAGGCUUCUACCCUGACCAUGUGGAGCUGAGCUGGUGGGUGAACGGGAAGGAGGUGCAGAGUGGGGUCAGCACAGACCCUCAGCCCUACAAGGAGAACCCCAAAGACAGUGACUCCAAGUACUGCCUGAGCAGCCGCCUGAGGGUCUCAGCCGCCUUCUGGCAUAACCCCCGCAACCACUUCCGCUGCCAAGUCCAGUUCUACGGGCUUGACGAGCAAGACAACUGGACCCUGCCUUGGGACAAACCCCUCACCCAGAAGAUCAGUGCCGAGGCCCAGGGCAGAGCAGACUGUGGCUUCACCUCAGUGUCCUAUCAGCAAGGGGUCCUGUCUGCCACCAUCCUCUAUGAGAUCCUGCUGGGGAAGGCCACCGUGUAUGCUGUGCUGGUCAGCGCCCUGGUGCUCAUGGCCAUGGUCAAAAGAAAGGAUUCCUGAAGCCAGCUCUGGAAGUAGAAGCAGGAGCUUCCAACCCAUUUCAGCAUCAAUAUGCAUUUUGCCUUCGCCAGCGCUUCUGAAGAGCUGCUCUCACUUCUUCAAGUAUCCAAGUAUCUACCCCCUCACACCGUGCAUGCGCACCUUCAUGCUCACGGCUGAGAUCCUCCCAACCUAGAGGGACCCCUAGCAUGACUAAGUGACUGAACUAAUAAAAGUAUCCUGGUCUGGCCUGACUCUGA